GAGGACUCACUUUUGAGAGAGGGAGCACUAUUUUAACCAUGAUGACAAACCUGAUAAACAUGACUUAAUUAAGGUAAGCCUACUGAACAUAGAGAGAAUUUUACCUUUUCAAAAAGAUAGCCGGCUUUCAACCUUACUGGUAACCAGAGGCCAUGCUGACACCUUCAUAUUAUCACCAAAAAGGGAAUCCAAGAUAUUUUGUUGAAAAUUCCCCAAUUUUGCAACAACAAAGACCAGCAGCUAACUCCAAAGAGUGAUCAUACACAUUAAUCCCGAAUAAAUGACUCUUAUGAAAAUUACUUUAAGCCUCGAAAGCGCAUGAAAGCGACGGAGGAUUUUGGCAAUGUCAAU
rnacentral:misc_RNA from 1 species